UAGGAAACGAGGGGAGUCGCCCGUUCGGGGAGCCGAGGAGACGAGGUGCUGCAUGGCUGUCGUCAGCUCGUGUCGUGAGAUUGGUUGGGGUUAAGUCCCGCAACGAGCGCAACCCUUGUCUUUAAUUGCCAUCAUUCAGUUGGGCACUUUAAAGAGACUGCCGGUGUUAAACCGGAGGAAGGUGGGAUGACGUCAAGUCCUCAUGGCCUUUAUGCCCAGGGCUACACACGUGCUACAAUGGCGCAUACAAAGAGAAGCGACCUCGCGAGAGCAAGCGGACCUCAUAAAGUGCGUCGUAGUCCGGAUUGGAGUCUGCAACUCGACUCCAUGAAGUCGGAAUCGCUAGUAAUCGUGGAUCAGAAUGCCACGGUGAAUACGUUCCCGGGCCUU
rnacentral:rRNA from 1 species